rnacentral:tRNA from 1 species
AAUAUCUUGGCAGAAAUUCUAUGCACCUGACUUAGGAUCAGGUUAUAAUACUAAGUAUUAGAUAUUU